AAAUUCUAAUUAAAGAGAGUGUUGGGAGAAAAAAUAAUUGCAUUGACCCAUACUGAUCUCCUUCUGUAGUGUUCUGAUCAGUGGCUUACCAAUGCACCUGUAAUCAGGUUUAAUGAGCUCUGUUAUUUGCGGUUCUCCAUUGGUGAUUGGCUGAUAACUUCUGCUAUCCAUAUUAUAAAGUGGUUUUUAAAAUCAGUUACUUUUCAUCUGCCUAGCUUGGGCGCAGUCUGCUGGAUGUUUGAAGUCUUGAUGGGUUAUCAUCUGAUAAUUCUCUUUCAACA